CGGGACACGUGGUAUCCUGUCUGAAUAUGGGGGGACCAUCCUCCAAGGCUAAAUACUCCUGACUGACCGAUAGUGAACCAGUACCGUGAGGGAAAGGCGAAAAGAACCCCGGCGAGGGGAGUGAAAAAGAACCUGAAACCGUGUACGUACAAGCAGUGGGAGCCUCUUUAUGGGGUGACUGCGUACCUUUUGUAUAAUGGGUCAGCGACUUAUAUUCUGUAGCAAGGUUAACCGAAUAGGGGAGCCGAAGGGAAACCGAGUCUUAACUGGGCGUUAAGUUGCAGGGUAUAGACCCGAAACCCGGUGAUCUAGCCAUGGGCAGGUUGAAGGUUGGGUAACACUAACUGGAGGACCGAACCGACUAAUGUUGAAAAAUUAGCGGAUGACUUGUGGCUGGGGGUGAAAGGCCAAUCAAACCGGGAGAUAGCUGGUUCUCCCCGAAAGCUAUUUAGGUAGCGCCUCGUGAACUCAUCUCCGGGGGUAGAGCACUGUUUCGGCAAGGGGGUCAUCCCGACUUACCAACCCGAUGCAAACUGCGAAUACCGGAGAAUGUUAUCACGGGAGACACACGGCGGGUGCUAACGUCCGUCGUGAAGAGGGAAACAACCCAGACCGCCAGCUAAGGUCCCAAAGUCAUGGUUAAGUGGGAAACGAUGUGGGAAGGCCCAGACAGCCAGGAUGUUGGCUUAGAAGCAGCCAUCAUUUAAAGAAAGCGUAAUAGCUCACUGGUCGAGUCGGCCUGCGCGGAAGAUGUAACGGGGCUAAACCAUGCACCGAAGCUGCGGCAGCGACGCUGAUGCGUUGUUGGGUAGGGGAGCGUUCUGUAAGCCUGUGAAGGUGUGCUGUGAGGCAUGCUGGAGGUAUCAGAAGUGCGAAUGCUGACAUAAGUAACGAUAAAGCGGGUGAAAAGCCCGCUCGCCGGAAGACCAAGGGUUCCUGUCCAACGUUAAUCGGGGCAGGGUGAGUCGACCCCUAAGGCGAGGCCGAAAGGCGUAGUCGAUGGGAAACAGGUUAAUAUUCCUGUACUUGGUGUUACUGCGAAGGGGGGACGGAGAAGGCUAUGUUGGCCGGGCGACGGUUGUCCCGGUUUAAGCGUGUAGGCUGGUUUUCCAGGCAAAUCCGGAAAAUCAAGGCUGAGGCGUGAUGACGAGGCACUACGGUGCUGAAGCAACAAAUGCCCUGCUUCCAGGAAAAGCCUCUAAGCAUCAGGUAACAUCAAAUCGUACCCCAAACCGACACAGGUGGUCAGGUAGAGAAUACCAAGGCGCUUGAGAGAACUCGGGUGAAGGAACUAGGCAAAAUGGUGCCGUAACUUCGGGAGAAGGCACGCUGAUAUGUAGGUGAAGUCCCUCGCGGAUGGAGCUGAAAUCAGUCGAAGAUACCAGCUGGCUGCAACUGUUUAUUAAAAACACAGCACUGUGCAAACACGAAAGUGGACGUAUACGGUGUGACGCCUGCCCGGUGCCGGAAGGUUAAUUGAUGGGGUCAGCGCAAGCGAAGCUCUUGAUCGAAGCCCCGGUAAACGGCGGCCGUAACUAUAACGGUCCUAAGGUAGCGAAAUUCCUUGUCGGGUAAGUUCCGACCUGCACGAAUGGCGUAAUGAUGGCCAGGCUGUCUCCACCCGAGACUCAGUGAAAUUGAACUCGCUGUGAAGAUGCAGUGUACCCGCGGCAAGACGGAAAGACCCCGUGAACCUUUACUAUAGCUUGACACUGAACAUUGAGCCUUGAUGUGUAGGAUAGGUGGGAGGCUUAGAAGUGUGGACGCCAGUCUGCAUGGAGCCGACCUUGAAAUACCACCCUUUAAUGUUUGAUGUUCUAACGUUGACCCGUAAUCCGGGUUGCGGACAGUGUCUGGUGGGUAGUUUGACUGGGGCGGUCUCCUCCUAAAGAGUAACGGAGGAGCACGAAGGUUGGCUAAUCCUGGUCGGACAUCAGGAGGUUAGUGCAAUGGCAUAAGCCAGCUUGACUGCGAGCGUGACGGCGCGAGCAGGUGCGAAAGCAGGUCAUAGUGAUCCGGUGGUUCUGAAUGGAAGGGCCAUCGCUCAACGGAUAAAAGGUACUCCGGGGAUAACAGGCUGAUACCGCCCAAGAGUUCAUAUCGACGGCGGUGUUUGGCACCUCGAUGUCGGCUCAUCACAUCCUGGGGCUGAAGUAGGUCCCAAGGGUAUGGCUGUUCGCCAUUUAAAGUGGUACGCGAGCUGGGUUUAGAACGUCGUGAGACAGUUCGGUCCCUAUCUGCCGUGGGCGCUGGAGAACUGAGGGGGGCUGCUCCUAGUACGAGAGGACCGGAGUGGACGCAUCACUGGUGUUCGGGUUGUCAUGCCAAUGGCACUGCCCGGUAGCUAAAUGCGGAAGAGAUAAGUGC
rnacentral:rRNA from 1 species